rnacentral:rRNA from 1 species
AUGGCCGUGGUGUUGAGGGUGCUGGUUAUUCCCCCUGGACCUAGUAAUGCUAGUGCUUCACAGAGGCAGGGUUUCGGUAUUGAUGUUGUUGUUUCAGCGUUGGAGCACGCUGAGCAUAUCUUAAGUAAUGUGUGUUCUGAGCUGCAAAAGGUCCCAACGACAGUUGAGCGCUUGAGCUGUAUCAAUGGUAUCCUUCCUGAAGGUCAUCAAUUUAACGUUGAGGAAGCUGUUGACUACAUUGAGAUGAAGAGAAUUUUAAUCGGUGAUAUGCGUGACAGUGCCGCUAAUCUAGUUCAGAGCUUGGUUCGUCUGUUGAACAACAUGAAGCGUUUCAGAACUACGCAAAACUCUCACUGCAAGCCAUAUGAAGAAAGUGCAAAUGUUGUUAUCAAGCAGUUUGAGCAGGAUGAGGCUGCUGCCACCGACAGCAGGGCUGGUGAUGGUACUGAGGCUAAUGUUUUUGAUCAUGAAACGAAUGAUGUUGGCUUUGAGCGUCCUGAUGUUGAUGUGAGUCAGAUGAGGCUGCUGGCACCGACAGCAGGGCUGAUGAUGGUACUGAGGCUAAUGUUUCUGAUCAGCAUACAAACGAUGUUGGCUUGCAGCACCCUGUUGUUGAUGAGACCAGUCAUAAUGUUGAGGCUGCUGUUGACUGUGGAGUUAAUGAUCCAUCCACUGAUAAGUGCAAGGAUCCUAUUGUUGGCGAUGAGCCUUGUUUGCCCGUUGGUGAUGUUGCUUUGA